AAUACUUAUAUGCUAGAUGAUCAACCUUUUCUGAUCGAUUCCACAACGUUUCUUUCACAAUGCAAUCGCAUGACCAUAACUGGUCUUUAUCUUUAAGCCUGGGUUGUGUUUUAUAGGGCACUUAAGAAGCACACUUGUAGAUAAGUCAGAAAUCAGAAAUGGAGAGAUAUGUUCUGAUCUUUCAUAUGCCACCUCUCUAAAGGAAGGGCAUUUUCAUUAGUGGUGUAAGGUGUUUUUUUUCUUCCCUUCUUGUUAUAUUGGAGUAUGAUAGAAGAAUAGUUACAGUUAGAUUCAUGUCCAUCCUUUUUGCUUUUAGAAUUAAUUUUCAAGUUACAGGUUUGGUUCUUCCCCAUAUGAAGUGUAAUAAUGAUAACAAUAAUGAUAAUAAUCUGGAUUUAUAUAGAGCUCAAUACGUAAUACCAUCUCUAAGUGCUUUACAGCGCUGUUACCCCGGUCAUCAGAUUCAUUCAUGCACAAUGUGCACCAUCUCCACUCCCUGGGGAGUAUUCCUACCAUAUGGUCACUGUAAUGGCAUAUAUGGCAAUUACUAAACACAAUAUGUCACUCUACCAGGUCCCCAUUUCUAUCCUGGGUAUGGAGUGGCAUAUGUAGAUUAAUGCUUGCCGAAGGAAGUUAGUAAACAUGGGAGAGUAUAUAUAUAUAUGUACAUGCAUAGAGCAAUGGUUACUGCAAUGAUGCAAUCGCUAUCUAUCAAUUCUUUCCCAACCAUUACCCACCAUACAGGUAAAUGUAGUACUUAACCAUGAUAAUGUGGUCAGUGAGUAUUAUAAAAUUGGUUCAAGAAUGUAGCCAAUGAGAAGCGUCGAAAUGGAUGUUUUUGAAGCUUUUACCGACCUUGAAUUUUGUUGCGCAAGUUUUGUCCACUCCUGCAGACUGUCUUAAGCUACAUGUAAAGCCUGGGGCCCGUUUCUAGAAACCGUCAUUAGUCUGACUUCUUGACUAUCCCAUUGAAACGCGUUAAUUCUAUAACACACGUUUCAAUGGGAUACCGGUAAUCAAGAAGUUAGACAUAUGACGGUUUCUAGGAACGAGCCCCUGGUGUCCUGCGAUCACUGGACCAAAGAUAGGUGACAAUAGGUACCCAGAGUCCCUGUUUAGUGUAGGCUUAAUCCUCUUACCGUAAUCCAUAUCGACUCUUUCACCUUUCUUAAUAGACCAGUUCGCAGAUAAAGGUCACUUGUACAAAAUUAUAUAACCCACUGAGACUGCUCACGAAAGUUAUGUAACGGUAAUCAUUAUUCAUGCAUGCACACAUGAUACAUUCUAUUGGACACAAGUGACAGUAAUCCUUUCAAGAGGGCAAACAAAGAAUCACGUCGGUGUCUUUAGCUGUGACUAUUCCAAAUGGCACAAAGUGGGAUUUAUCUAUGUUUAAAAGAUCUGUGGAUAUUUAGGGUCACUGAUCUGAACCAUGGGCUAACUACGAACAGGGACCCAUUUCACAAAGCCUUUAUUCAAUGACAAAUGACAAAACUCAGUGACAAAUCUGCUGAUAACCAAUCAGAAGCAAGAAUUUCAGUAGCUUAUAACAAAAAUUGUCAUUCGUCAUUGAUGACAAGUUUUGUGAAACGCUCCCCUGGUCUAUUGGUAAUCACACCAUUUGUAAUGUGAUUGCAUACCAUGGAGCAUUAUACACACUACCCCUUGAUUAGCCCAUGCACCACAGCUCUCUGUGACAGUCUGCUGUUUCAGCUCAUUUCCUCAGCUUUUUGGUGAUGCUGUGGUUCAAGUUUUACAACUUGUAUUUUUAAAGAAAUUACAUACUCUGGCGAGAAUUGCUCUUGGGUCAUUUUU
rnacentral:lncRNA from 1 species